GCUCCGGUGGCCUAGUGUUUAGAGCGUCCGCCUAGGAUGCGAGAGGUCGUGGGUUCGAAUCCCGGCCGAAUCA